GGCGCGGCUAGUCCGACGGGACGAAACCCGGGUCCGCACCCGGUUGCAGCGCCGCCACCCCUGCGG
rnacentral:sRNA from 1 species